CCUUAUCCAUCUCCUCUCCAGAAUGGGAGGCACCGUACGAACCGCUGCCGGCAGCGCUGGAAUCGAUCCGGCGAUGUGGCAGCUGCCGGCGCCGUUCAACCCCUCCCCCCCUCCCCACCCCCUCCCCCGCCUUAUGCCUUCUACCAGCCCCACCUCUCACCGCCGCGACGACCCCAUCCUCCUCGCCGUCUCCUCCGUGGCUCUACCCCCUUCCCCGUCCGAUGCCAACCUCGGCAAGCAGGCCGCCGCCGCCGUUCGCCUAACGACGCCUGUACUGCCUCCUCCUCUGCUGCUGCAGGCUUAGCGUAGAUCAUCACUGCCACCUCUCUCCCCCUUGUCGCCCCCUCCGCCGUCUCACCCGUGUCCUCCGCCGCUGGCCGCCGCUGGUCCGCCGCCGACGGAUCUUCUGCCUCUUCCUCUGCGGUAGUGUUCCCACCGACCUCCGCCCACCAUCGCCACCAUCUCCCCCUCCUCGAUGUCUCAUCCGCCCCCUUCACCCUCUCCUCCAACGCUGACUGCCCCAAGUACGCCGCCGGCUAUGAGCUGCUCAUUCACAGCGGCGGCGGCGUCACCACAUACUACUCCUUGCCCUUCCCCACCGGCGCGCUAUUCUUGGCUACUGUCACCCUGUCCACCCAUGCCGCCUCCCAAAUUCAAAUUUUCUGCCAAACCCGCGCGCCCAGGUGGAACUGUCUAGAAACCAUCCUUGUAGGCCCAUAUAUAUAUAUAUAUAUCAAAUUUUCUAGCACUCUGAGUUCAAAUCCGCGCGCCAAUGUGGAGCCGUCUAGAAACUACUAUUGUAGACCAAUAUAAAGCAAAUGGGACUCUCGCUGCUGCACCCAAAGAAGCCAAACGCUGGUCACUGCAUUCUUCAGAUUGAACGGAUUGUGAGGACUUCAUCUUCUGUUCUACUUCGUGAAGGACCAAGGUCCAAAAGAUACUCAUCAAGCUUAGAAAAUAGAAGUCUCCAGGAGAAACCCUUGGAUUUAGGUGUGAAACUGAAUAAUCACAAGGUCAGGACAUACUGGGUCUUGCGCCCAAAUGUUACAAUCCUCGUGCCAACAAAGCAAUAAAGGAAAACAAAAAGUGGUCGAUGACAAUAAUAAGUCCCACAGAACUGGGCCCAAUGGCAUGCCACCGACUCAGACAGGUCUAUUUAUACGCGAGCCGACAUGUGUGACGCAUUUGAGUUACUCGUCUUCUUCGGAUGAUGAAGUGACAAACCAAUCAGCUGUGAUUUUUCCUACUAAUAAUGGUAUGCUGACAUCAAUUGAGUACUUGGAGCGAGGAGAAAGUUCCAAAGGGAAAAAGCGUGCACGCGAAGCACUAAGAUAUGCUAGCCGUACCCCUGAACAAAUCCAAGCAAGGUGAGAACGUGUGAGAGCACGUCGGCAAAAUUUAACACCAAAUGAGAAGGAAAGGAUUAAUGCACAGAGAAGAGAGAAAAGACAACACAUGACACUUGAUGAGAGGAAUGCAAGCCAGCGAGCACGUAGGCAAAGUUUGACGCUAGAUGAGAGGCAAGAAAGAAAUGCACGCCAGCGAGCACGUAGGAAAAGCCUACCACCCGAAGAGCGGCAACCACUCCUAGCUCAGCGUAAAGCAAGCUACGCAGCCAAACGAGAUACCCUCUAUAAGGAUUCUGUCGCAAUGCAGUGCCCUAAAGGUUCGUUGGUGGGACAUCUAUCAUCAAGCUCUUAUGUCUUUAGCUGCCCAAGUACGCUGGAGCAAACUUCUGCUACGGUUCAAGGUAAUCUUGAAAGCAUACCUGAAGCGGUGGAAGAGGAUCACAUAGUUUUCACUAACACAGGUAAUCUUGAAAGCAUACCUGAAGCGGUGGAAGAGGAUCACAGAGUUUUCCCUAACACAGGUUCCCCAACAGAAAGCUUUGUUGCGGACGAUAAUUAGUCUGAAGAAGAAGAUGAUGAGUACUUCAUAUUUGCUGGCAGAGGCGAUGAUGAAGACUGUGAUGACAUGAUGGAUGCAUUUACAGCAGUUCCUGAUCCAUAUGAUCGUGUCUACGAGAAUAUACCUGUAAGUACUCACACGCUGGCACCUAAACCUGAUUGCAAGCAUUGUGGUGCAAAGAGGUUCCAGUAUGAGACAAAUGGAUUUUGUUGCCGGUCUGGAAAAGUUAAGUUGGCACACUUAGAACCACCCUUGGAACUUAAAAUGCUAUACACAAGUUCAGAUCCCAAUGCCGUGCAUUUUAGGGAUAACAUUCGAUACUUCAAUGGACACUUUUUCAUUCACUACCCUUGGAGUCAGUCUGGACAACAGAUACACAAACAUGAAGUCAGGAGUCUAUAUGUUUCGAGCUCACGGUCAGAUUUACCACAACAUCUUCUCAUUUGGUCCAACUCAAGAUGAGCCAAAGCAUUUGGAACUCUACUUCUAUGAUGACGAUCCCGGUUUACAACAUAGGUUUCGGCGCUCCCCGAACCUAGACCGAGAUGUCAUUCAAAGGCUUGUUGACAUCCUAAAGGAUAAUCCUUAUUCUGAAACGUUCAGGAAUCUAGGUGGAGUUGAUGACCUUGAGGAAUACCGUAUUGAACUGAACACCGACAUGAGGUUGGACCAACGGAGGUAUAAUGUGCCUAUAUCAUCAGAGGUUGCAGCUAUUUGGGUUGAGGGUAGUGAACUCUGUAAGUACUUUGAGCGUAGCAUAGUAUUGUUCGGCAACGACAACAAGAGAUAUAGCAUCCAACCAUAUUAUGGAUGUUAUGAUCCGUUGUCUUACCCUUUAUUCUUCCCAAGAGGGAGAUUGGUUGGCAUCCUGAAAUCCUAAAGAAUGGUGUCAGCUUGAAUGAGCUGCUUCAGUCCCGUCGCAGUGGUCGACAGAGUCUAGGUGAGAAGAUGGAUGAAGCCAGAGCUCGAGGGCCAACAUUGUUAGCAUAGAUGGUUUUGAGCAAACGACUAAAAGAAGGUCCUGGGGAUCCAAACAAUGUAGUUUUGUGUGUUUGUCAGUUCCUAACAUCUUGAGCAACCUUGCAGAAAGGAGCUCUUUGAGGACUGUUGUGACAUAGAUCCAACAAGCUGGUGAUGGUGGUGCAGGAAGUGUAUGGGCGUCGACAUGGCUGGAACCCCAUGGUCAUGAGACUAGCGAUGUAGUCGUCGUCGUCCUUUUUGUGCUCUCCUGUGUUGGUCUAUUUUGGGAUUCUGUGUACAAUAUCUUUUUUUUCUGUAUGAGAGUUAACUGCAGUUUGUCAGGUUACUGGUUGACGAUGCUCUUGUUCAUGUUACCAAGGAUGAUGUAGGGAGUAGUUGUUUACGCAUGUUGGGUUUGGGUGGCUAAUGCUCAGCCCGUAUGGUGUGUGUAUGUGCGUGUGUGUAUUGGGUUUGGGUGGCUAAUGCCCAUCCCGUAUGGUGUGUGUAUGUGCGUGUGUGUAAUACUGAAAAAUUCUAUAUUGUUUGCAUUUACUAUUCAUUUGGAUGUAUGUAAGCUCGGGAACAUAAUUGAAUAUUUGGAAAAGCAUAUUGAU